UACAGAGGGGGCAAGCGUUGUCCGGAUUUACUGGGCGUACAGCGCGCGCAGGCGGUUGCGUAUGUGAGCGGUGACAUCCGCGGGCUCAACCCGCGGCGGCCCGCUUACACAGCGCGACUGGAGGCAGGGAGAGGGAUGUGGAAUACCCGGUGGAGCGGUGAAAUGCGUAGAGAUCGGCAGGAACACCCAGGGAGAAAUCAGCCGCCUGGGCAAGUGCUGACGCUGAGGUGCGAAAGCGUGGGGAGCGAACCGG
rnacentral:rRNA from 1 species